rnacentral:rRNA from 1 species
UUCAAUUUUUGAAGUUUCUCUAGCUUUUUUGUUGGGUGAAAUCAGUAUAAGGAGCUCUUUCUUCUUUAAAAAUUAGUAGGAAUUAAAAAACUUUGAUUUAAAACCAGGAUUAGAUACCCUGUUAUUCUCAGUUAUUCUUAAACAGGGUAGUAAAAGUUGUUCUUCAAACCCAAAGAUUUUGGCGGCACUUUAUCCAAAUAGAGGAGCUUGUCCCUUAAUCGAUAGUCCUCGUUUUAUCUUUCCUUCAUUUGUAAAGCUUGUAUACCGCCGUUGUCAGAUUACUUUUAGAGAAUGUUUUCAAGUUAAAAGACUUUAUAACUUCAGGUCAAGGUGCAGUUUAUAUGGGGGUGGAGGUGAGCUACAGUUUCCUUUAGAAAAUACGGAUUCUAAGCUUUGAAGCUAGCUGAAGGUGGAUUUACUAGUAAAGUAAUUUAAGUAAA